rfam:Sistotremastrum niveocremeum HHB9708 unplaced genomic scaffold SISNIscaffold_37, whole genome shotgun sequence.
UCUCUUGUGCUCGGGCAUGUACUGUCGCCAGUGAGGUUUUUACCGAGGCACAGUCUUUUGCUGAUUGCAAACAAUACAUCCGUCUACCUUGCUUACCUUCGGGUCUGCAGAAUUUUUGAAACCUCCAUCCUUCGUUGUGUUGGUG